rnacentral:rRNA from 1 species
GAUGAACGCUGGCGGCGUGCCUAAUACAUGCAAGUCGAGCGAACAGACGAGGAGCUUGCUCCUCUGACGUUAGCGGCGGACGGGUGAGUAACACGUGGAUAACCUACCUAUAAGACUGGGAUAACUUCGGGAAACCGGAGCUAAUACCGGAGAAUAUAUUGAACCGCAUGGUUCAAUAGUGAAAGACGGUUUUGCUGUCACUUAUAGAUGGAUCCGCGCCGCAUUAGCUAGUUGGUAAGGUAACGGCUUACAAAGGCAACGAUGCGUAGCCGACCUGAGAGGGUGAUCGGCCACGCUGGAGCUGAGACACGGUCCAGACUCCUACGGGAGGCAGCAGUAGGGAAUCUUCCGCAAUGGGCGAAAGCCUGACGGAGCAACGCCGCGUGAGUGAUGAAGGUCUUCGGAUCGUAAAACUCUGUUAUUAGGGAAGAACAAAUGUGUAAGUAACUAUGCACGUCUUGACGGUACCUAAUCAGAAAGCCACGGCUAACUACGUG